rnacentral:rRNA from 1 species
GCAUAAUCAUUUGCCUUUUAAUUGAAGGCUAGUAUGAAAGGACACACAAGAAUAAUACUGUCUCAUUACGGUUUAAUUAAAACUGAUUUUUAGGUGAAGACGCCUAAAUCCCAAUAAAGGACAAGAAGACCCUAUAGAGCUUCAUUGAUGUUUAGAAUAAACUAAUUUAUCAAUUUGGUUGGGACAACCGAAAGACAAACACACCUCUUAUAUACCCCUAAUAAAACUCACACCCACUAAUGAAAUAGAAUUUCAAGCUACCUUAGGGAUAACAGGCUAAUCCUGCUAGAGAGCCCACAUUGACAGCAGGGAUUGG